AUUGAACGCUGGCGGUAGGCCUAACACAUGCAAGUCGAACGCGAAAGUCCUUCGGGAUGAGUAGAGUGGCGGACGGGUGAGUAACGCGUAGGAAUCUAUCCUGUAGUGGGGGAUAACGUUUCGAAAGGAACGCUAAUACCGCAUACGCCCCAAGGGGGAAAGCGGGGGAACUUCGGACCUCGUGCUAUCGGAGGAGCCUGCGUCGGAUUGGCAAGUUGGUGAGGUAAAGGCUCACCAAGGCGACGAUCCGUAGCUGGGCUGAGAGGAUGAUCAGCCACACCGGAACUGAGACACGGUCCGGACUCCUACGGGAGGCAGCAGUGGGGAAUAUUGCGCAAUGGGCGAAAGCCUGACGCAGCCAUACCGCGUGUGUGAAGAAGGCCUUCGGGUUGUAAAGCACUUUCAGUGGGGAGGAAAAGCUGGUGGCUAAUAUCCAUCGGCCGUGACGCUACCCACAGAAGAAGCACCGGCUAAUUCCGUGCCAGCAGCCGCGGUAAGAC
rnacentral:rRNA from 1 species